UACGUAGGUGGCAAGCGUUAUCCGGAUUUAUUGGGCGUAAAGGGAACGCAGGCGGUCUUUUAAGUCUGAUGUGAAAGCCUUCGGCUUAACCGGAGUAGUGCAUUGGAAACUGGGAGACCUGAGUGCAGAAGAGGAGAGUGGAACUCCAUGUGUAGCGGUGAAAUGCGUAGAUAUAUGGAGGAACACCGGUGGCGAAAGCGGCUCUCUGGUCUGUAACUGACGCUGAGGUUCGAAAGCGUGGGUAGCAAACAGG
rnacentral:rRNA from 1 species